UGCCCAGAUACCGAACUUUGCACAUGCAAUUUUAAAAAUACCUCCCCCUACUGCAAAAUGUGCAGAGUUCGAUGGAAAGCUAUGUAAAAGGAUAGAGCGAGGAGAGGCCAGUGUGAUGGGGAGAGGUUAAAGAUAGGGCUCGCUCCGCGCUAGCAUUUGCUAGAAGCCACACUUCGGUACCGGCCGAGGGAGUGAGCCCAAAGAAAAGGAAGGGAGGAAAAGAGAGGAGCAAGAGUCAGCAGGCCAGAAGCUGGGCGCAGCAAAGCGAGUGCGGGGAACCCGGGGUUAAACGGAACGACUCCUCCCUCCCCCACCUCCGCCGGAGUCCGAGUGCCGCUUGGUUUUUCCGGUCUCUCGGCGGUCCCAUUGGGCGCGUUGGCCCUUUGAGCCAUGGGCUCCAGGUCCAGACGCGGCAGCGGUGACCACAGCUGGCCGGGCGGCCAGGCGCCACCCCCUAGGCUUUGAGGGCGGAAGAGUCCGCCCUUCGGCGGCGAAGGUGGCCGCUGCCGCCCACGCGGGCUCCCGGAGACCCGGGACCGUCGGAGCAGGUAAGAGUGCCCGGGGACUGAAGUCUGAGCGGCCGGCCCUUGCGGGCAGGCGGGGGACCCCCUUCCGCCCCGGGAAAUCCUUUAUUGGAUUUCAGGCUAGGUCUGACCCUCAGAGGGAGGGAAUGUUUUAGACGCUAUGUGUGACUGUACAGCGGCUCCUGGGCGCACUAGUGGUCUGAGUGUGUUUACCCCCCGGGGCAAGCCAGGGUCUCAAGUGGGCCUGAAACAGCGGUUCUGUGGUGCUCCUCACAUGGCUCUUAGGUGCGGAAAGGGAGUUAAGGACGCAGAGGCCCCUAAAUUCCCGUGAGGGAGGUGGCGGGACAGGUCUGAGUGGUCUCCCAUUGGAGGCACCGCCCCUCAUUUGUCCUGCAGCCCU
rnacentral:lncRNA from 1 species